UUACUACUUAUCAAUCUGUUGAGGCUGUUAAUCCCACAGUUGUAGCAACCAACAUUGAUGUAGGCCAGACCAUAAAAUUCCCAAUUUUUUGCAAGUGUCCAAACACGACACAAAAUCAACCAAGACUACUCAUAAGUUAUGUUUUUCAACCUAAUGAUAACAUUUCUUCUAUCGCAUCAAGAUUCGGGAUAACCCCACAAUCCAUAACACAAAUUAAUGGAAAUAAUACCAAGAUUCUUGAUACCCUUUUCAUCCCUCUUUCUAAUCUACCUAAUCUUACACAGCCAGCAUCUUCAAACACCCCACCCCCACCCCCAGCACCAGCACCAGUAAUUCAAGAAAAUGACAGAAAAGAGACUGUCAUAGGGUUAGCAAUUGGUUUAGGGGUUUGUGGGUUGCUGUUGAUUUUGAUUCUUGGUUUGUUUUACAAGGAGAAAACAGUAAAGAAAGAAAAGUAUGGUGAUGUAGAAAGGCAAAAAAGUUUGUAUCUUGGAUCAAAAAAGAAGUCUUUUGUUGAUAAAGAUGUUGAAGUGAAUUUGUUGGCUGAUUUAUCAGAGUGUUUGGAUAAGUAUAAAAUGUAUAAAAUGGUACAACUUUGGGAAGCAACAAAUGGAUUUGAUGAAGGGUGUUUGAUUCAAGGGUCUGUGUUUAAAGGAACAAUUGAUGAAGAAGUGUUUGCAAUCAAAAAAAUGAAAUGGAAUGCCCGCGAAGAACUCAAAAUCCUGCAAAAGGUAAAAAAAAAAACGUUACGUAAAAUUCUGCAUAUAUACGUAUCCACUGCAGAAUUGCUUUUGUGUACUACUAGUAAAAAUCAUUUUAUUAAGGAUAACAUGAACACUUUAAAGUUAAAUUGUUACUGGAUAGAAUAUAUGUCAUUCUUUUCACCUUUUUUUGUUUGUGUAGGUGAACCAUGGGAAUUUGGUGAAGCUAGAGGGUUUUUGCAUAGACCCUAAAGAAGCAAAUUGCUACUUAGUCUAUGAGUAUGUUGAAAAUGGUUCACUACAUUCUUGGCUUCACGGUGAAAAACCUGAAAAAUUGAGCUGGAAAACAAGACUAAGGAUUGCCACUGAUGUUGCAAAUGGUCUCUUAUACAUUCAUGAACAUACAAGGCCAAGAGUUGUCCACAAAGACAUCAAGAGUAGCAACAUUCUCCUAGACUCCAACAUGAGAGCCAAAGUUGCCAAUUUUGGUCUAGCUAAAUCAGGGUGCAAUGCUAUAACAAUGCACAUUGUAGGUACUCAGGGGUACAUCUCCCCUGAGUACCUCACUGAUGGGGUUGUAUCCACUAAAAUGGAUGUUUUCUCAUUCGGGGUUGUGUUGCUCGAGCUUGUGUCAGGGAAGGAGGCUAUCGAUGAUGAAGGGAAAGUCUUGUGGGCAAAAAUUAGCGAUUUUUCUGAAGGGAGUGAAGAGAGGAAGGUGAGGAAAUUGCAAGAAUGGAUGGAUGAAAGUCUAUUGAGGGAAGAAUUAACAAUGGAAAGUGUUGUGAAUGUGAUGACUGUGGCUAUUUCAUGUUUGAAUAAAGAUCCUUCAAGAAGGCCAGGGAUGAUUGAAAUUGUGUAUGCCUUAUCUAAAAGUAUUGAUCUAUUUUCUGAUGUUUCAGAGGAAGGACCAUCUCCAAGGCAAGUCACAGCAAGAUAGACUACAUAAUAGUACUUGCAUAUUAUGUAAAGUUGUUUUGAAGUGGAGUAGCAUUUUGUGUUUUGAGGUUUGUACUUUACUUUAAAGUUUGCUUCUAUAUAAGUGUAAUAUUACUCCUAUAUUAUCUUUUCUAGUAGUAGUGGUAAAUCCAAUUUCGAAUAAGAGCAUGUUUAAGGUUGUUCUAGUGGAAUAUAUAUUAGUACCACAUAAGACACUUGUAAUGAAUUUAUCUUUAUGUUAUGUUGCUUGGAUUCUUCAAAAAUGAUCUUGCACUUGUGUCAAUUCUUUAAAAUUGCAUGUAUUAGUUAUGCGGUUUUCUAAAUUACCUCCUAAAUCAGCUAUCAAACAUGGUAUUACGUAACUUAACCUGCAUAACUCAACUCCAAACCAACUACCAAACGACCCUGAAUGAAAAGUAUUUCCCCUAACUCUUGCAAUAGUUUAAUAUACCUUGGAAAAAGACGUAUCUCAGAAAUAGCUAGUCCAAACAUGUGAAAACAUUCUGGAGAAAAACAACAAAUAUAAACACGAGUAUUUUCUACAAUAUGGUUGACCAAAAACUCUUCUAGGUGGGACCAUCAAAUUGAAAAAAAACCCAUCUUCCUUUAAUGUUAAAGACAAUACCAUAUGAGAAAUUAAACAACAACAACCAAUCAAAUAAUGCAAAAAAUCCCCAUCACUCAUUAAAUGGUCAAAAACCAAGACUAUGACAAAAAACAAGAACUUUGGUAUAUAAACCUCUUAUAACUCCAUCAUAUUAUAUACACACACAUCUCUCCUUCAACCAAAACCAAGAAAAUGAUAACAAGACCAAUAUUUGUUUUUUCACUUCUCUUAUUCUUAUCAUUCAUAUUCAACCAAAACAUAAUAUGUUAUGCACAAGAGCCACCAAGCAUCACAGGAUAUACUUGUAAUCCUAACCAAUUCAAUCCAUGUCAAACUUAUGUGUUAUACAGAGCUAGAGGACCAGACUUUCUUGAUUUAGCCUCAAUUGGUGAUCUUUUUUCAGUAAGUAGACUAAUGAUAGCAAACCCUAGUAAUAUUUCCAACCCAAACACAACUCUUGUUAAUGAUCAACCCCUUUUUAUCCCCAUCACAUGUUCUUGUAACAACAUCAACACAACAUAUGGUAGCAUAUCUUAUGCUGGCUUUAACUACACUUUCAAAUCAGGUGACACUAUGUAUGGUAUAUCAACAUCUAAAUACCAAAAUCUUACUACUUAUCAAUCUGUUGAGGCUGUUAAUCCCACAGUUGUAGCAACCAACAUUGAUGUAGGCCAGACCAUAAAAUUCCCAAUUUUUUGCAAGUGUCCAAACACGACACAAAAUCAACCAAGACUACUCAUAAGUUAUGUUUUUCAACCUAAUGAUAACAUUUCUUCUGUCGCCUCAAGAUUCAGGGUAACCCCACAAUCUAUAACACAAAUUAAUGGAAAUAACACCAAGAUUCUUGAUACCCUUUUCAUCCCUCUUUCUAAUCUACCUAAUCUUACACAGCCAGCAUCUUCAAACACCCCACCCCCACCCCCAGCACCAGCACCAGUAAUUCAAGAAAAUGACAGAAAAGAGACUGUCAUAGGGUUAGCAAUUGGUUUAGGGGUUUGUGGG
rnacentral:lncRNA from 1 species